AUCUCCAAUAUCUUAUAUUACAUUUUUUGUGGUUAAAAAGCUCGUAGUUGGAUCUCAACAGCCUUGAAGCGGUUAACUUUGUAGUUUUACUGCUUUAUAGGCUGUGCUUUUGCUGGAGGUUUAGGGGUGCUCUUGAUCGAGUGUCUCUGGAUGCCAGCAGGUUUACUUUGAAAAAAUUAGAGUGCUCAAAGCAGGCUAAAAUGCCUGAAUAUUCGUGCAUGGAAUAAUAGAAUAGGAUGUCGAUCCUAUUUUGUUGGUUUUCGGGACUCGACAUAAUGAUAAAUAGGGACAGUCGGGGGCAUUUGUAUUCAAACGACAGAGGUGAAAUUCUUGGACCGUUUGAAGAAAAAAUAAUGAGAAAGAAUUUGAAAAGAAUGUUUUCA
rnacentral:rRNA from 1 species